rnacentral:rRNA from 1 species
AUUGAACGCUGGCGGCAUGCCUUACACAUGCAAGUCGAACGGCAGCAUGGAAGAGCUUGCUCUUCUGAUGGCGAGUGGCGAACGGGUGAGUAAAGCAUCGGAACGUACCGUGUAGUGGGGGAUAACGUAGCGAAAGUUACGCUAAUACCGCAUACGCACUGAGGUGGAAAGCAGGGGAUCGCAAGACCUUGCGCUAUACGAGCGGCCGAUGUCAGAUUAGCUAGUUGGUAGGGUAAAGGCCUACCAAGGCGACGAUCUGUAGCGGGUCUGAGGGGAUGAUCCGCCACGCUGGGACUGAGACACGGCCCAGACUCCUACGGGAGGCAGCAGUGGGGAAUUUUGGACAAUGGGCGAAAGCCUGAUUCAGCCAUGCCGCGUGAGUGAAGAAGGCCUUCGGGUUGUAAAGCUCUUUCGGCUGGGAAGAAAUCGCACAGGCUAAUACUCUGUGUGGAUGACGGUACCAGCACAAGAAGCACCGGCUAACUACGUGCCAGCAGCCGCGGUAA